UAAUGCACGAGAACAUUUGUUAAUUGUACUGACUUGGUGGCCCAUCUUAUAUUUUAAUUGUAGAACCGUUUUGGAUUUUGCAAACAUAUUUUAGGGAAAACAUCGGAGCAUCGUAAUUCGAUAAAAGCAUACUGGCUCUUGGCCGUGAAGUUAUUAUAUUGUACGCUUAGAUGAUUAUUGUGAACAUAAGGAAAAUGGUGGAGAGAAUGAGAAAUUACUUUAGUACUUUAACAUGGUGGUUGGUAGAUUGGAUGGAGAGAGAACCUCAAAUUAAUAGUAAUGCUAUUAAGGGCGUAGCUCGUUUGG